GGGCAUGCCAGUCCCCCAAGGCUCAGGAAAGCUGCCCAGGUUGGAUGGAGUCUUGUUUGAAUGUACUGCACUUGCACUGCAGCUACAGGACCCUGGAAAUCAUCCCACCCUAGGUUUUAUACGAGGGGAAGGAAAACAUGACCCACUGGACUAAAACAUUGAAGAGCAACUUGUUCCUAGGAGGAACUGGAACAGAGCCCUGGCUGUUCUAGUAAGUUCCUCCCUAUCUUAGUGUGUCCAGAAUUUAAUCCUUCUGGUGGAAUCUUGGUCUCCCUGACUUCAAGAAUGAAGCUGUGGACCUCACGGAUUUGUGCUAGACUUUGGAGAUAUGAAGAUGAUUGAAUCAAGGUCUUUAUCUUUAACUGAGAUGUUCAUAAUAAUAUCACAGAAAAGAAGACAUAUAAAGAUCGUAUACAAAUAAAUACAAUACAAUGUGGUAAAAGAUCUCAGCCUCCAUAACUUUAAAAAUGGUAUAAAUUAUAUCGUUUAAAAAUUGCAAGAAGAAAACUGUUGCAAACAUUUGCAGUCACAUGACCUGAAAGGACCUUUGAAGAUACAACUUUUGGAAUCUUAGUCUCCAUUUUGAAUAUAUACUUUUGCUGUUAUAACCAGUAGAAGAGAAUUUCCAGCAACUUAUACGUUAUUAUUUUUCCAGGUGACUGAGCAUUGAAAGAACUUUACUCAUAAAUGGGUUGUCAACACUAGCAUGGAGUGUCUUAGGCAGCAGUAAGUUCACCAUUCUUGGGUAUUUAAAAAGAAGAUGGAUGAACAUCUGAAAGGAAUCCCGUAAUGAGGUUUUGGCAUUGCUCAACAGAUUAACUUUUAACACUCUUCCAUCUUUGAUCUUUUUUACAUUCCAACUUCAACGUAAAACUUUCUUGAAGCCAAGAAGUAUUAAUUUUAAAAUGGAAAAAACACCAUAUUUAUUUGUGUUACUUAUUUAUAUCACAUGAAUAUACUUUCAGAUAUGUGGAUAUUCAAUACUGUCUACAGUUUGUAACAUAGUAAAGAGGUGUCAUUUUUAAUAAGUCAAAUGUUUUGCUUAAAAGUAUAUGUAAUUUUUUCUAUGAAAUGUUGGUAAAAUGUUGAUCUCACAAUAGAUUUAAUAUUUUAAUGUCAGGUUUCAAAUGAAUUUGAUUUUUAAGAAAUAUAUUUUCACCUUUACUUUAAUAUAGUUAUUUUCUUCUUUUAUGUAAUUAGAAGUAGAACUAUCCAAGAACAUUUAAAAUUAAAUUAGGGAGUUUUUCAACUUGACUGUUAAAUAUUACUGCUACCUCUCCACUGUACUUAGACCUGCACCUUGUGUUAAGAAAAACAUUUUAACAAAUUUAAAAAAUAAAGAAGUGAUCUUGUCGACUUCACCAUACAUCUUUAUGUUUUAUGAUAUAUGAGUACAGGAACCACUCAUUUUUUUUUCAAUGAAGCAUUAAUUUUCAAUGAAAUCUCUAAGAGCAAAUGGCUAUUACGGUCAUUAAGAAAAGAAAUAUACAGAAGGGGAACAUCACA
rnacentral:lncRNA from 10 species